AUGGGCUAAUCCAAGACUGGUGACACUGUAAAGCUUUGUUUAACUCAUGUCCCUUUAACACUCACUCUCUCUCACUCUCUCUUACUCUAUUCACCUUCUCAUCAGCGUCACUACGUUUUCAUUUCUAGAGUUUUGCUGAACAGUGUAGAAAUACGCUUUGCUUCUUUCCAGCAAGUGCUUUCAAGCAGUGACCAUUAUAAGACCUCCAGAGGGACGAUGGCAAUGACUACUGGAACUUUCCGAAUGGUCCCUGAAGAGGAGCAGGCUCUCCGAGCAAAACUUGAACAUCUAACUAUUGGAGAUCAUGGGCCAGUAUUUGGAAAAUGUGAAGAAAUUCCUCCACAUACACUGCAAA